GGUCAAGCUACAAAGGGCUAACGGUGGAUACCUAGGCACA
rnacentral:rRNA from 2 species